CGUGCCAGCAGCCGCGGUAAUACCGGCGGCUCGAGUGGUGGCCACUAUUACUGGGCUUAAAGCGUUCGUAGCUGGGUUGUUAAGUUUCUUGGGAAAUCUACCGGCUUAACCGAUAGGCGUCCAAGGGAUACUGGCAAUCUAGGGACCGGGAGAGGUGAGGGGUACUUCAGGGGUAGGAGUGAAAUCCUGUAAUCCUUGGGGGACCACCUGUGGCGAAGGCGCCUCACCAGAACGGCUCCGACAGUGAGGGACGAAAGCUGGGGGAGCAAACCGGAUUAGAUACCCGGGUAGUCCCAGCCGUAAACGAUGCGCGUUAGGUGUAUCGAUGACCACGAGUCAUCGAGGUGCCGAAGGGAAACCGUGAAACGCGCCGCCUGGGAAGUACGGUCGCAAGGCUGAAACUUAAAGGAAUUGGCGGGGGAGCACCACAACAGGUGGAGCCUGCGGUUUAAUCGGACUCAACGCCGGAAAUCUCACCGGAUAAGACAGCUGAAUGAUAGCCGGGCUGAAGACUCUGCUUGACUAGCUGAGAGGAGGUGCAUGGCCGUCGUCAGUUCGUACUGUGAAGCAUCCUGUUAAGUCAGGCAACGAGCGAGACCCACGCCAACAGUUGCCAGCAUGUCCUCCGGGAUGGUGGGGACACUGUUGGGACCGCCUCUGCUAAAGAGGAGGAAGGAAUGGGCAACGGUAGGUCAGCAUGCCCCGAAUUAUCCGGGCUACACGCGGGCUACAAUGGGCAGGGCAAUGGGUUUCGACACCGAAAGGUGAAGGCAAUCUCUUAAACCUGCUCGUAGUUCGGAUUGCGGGUUGCAACUCGCCCGCAUGAAGCUGGAAUCUGUAGUAAUCGCGUCUCAAAAUGGCGCGGUGAAUAUGUCCCUCCUUGUACACACCGCCCGUCA
rnacentral:rRNA from 1 species